ACUGACUAUACUGAUUCAUACUGUGUAAUCCACCUUGAAUCUCAGCGAGAAAACUAAUUUUUAAAAGAACCUUGACAAUGCAUAUGAAGAUACCGUUCACCCUCGACUUAGAUAUGUAAUCACAGGUGUGUUUAUAUGCAAGUAAACAAUCCAAGCCAAAGGGCUUUGUUUCCUAGCAAACACUGGCAAGUCUCCCCUCUAUUUCUUUUGAACAUCGUAAAACUCGAACCCCGAACCACAACAGAUGCGCAAAAUGCACCUUUAAAAAGAAGUGAAAGAAGCAGCAGCGCCCCUCAGCACGUUUCGAGUUACUCUGCCAAGCACGUGGAGAAUGCGCGGGCGGGCUGGGGUGGCGGCGCCACAGAUCCGGCCAGCGAGAGCCACCUUCUAGCCCAUCGUCCCUACUAAGUAGAGAGUGGCCCAGGGCACAGCCUUUGCUUUUAGAGGGUUCGCUUCAGUCCGGGCUAGCCAGCCAGCUCGGCCUCCCUCUGGAUGGACAACCACUCUCGCUCCUUUCGCCGCUCAACAGGAGAGGCGGGAAAACUGAGGCCUCCCGUCGCCUUCAGGCCCUCGACGCUCGCCACUGCCCCCCCCCCCUACUUCCCGAAAUCGGCCGACUAGGAGGAAGGUCGGGCCGCCUCCGAGGCGGGAAUAGGAGUCCUGACUCUGAAGUUCCAGCUCGGUAAGGAGCGAGGGAGUGCUGACAGGUAAAAGCACCCCAAAGCAGAGUGGAUCCUCCUCGCCAGACGGUCUUGCAUCAGCUGGUUGCUGCCGCUGCCGCUUUCUACUAUGCAUCUUCUCAGAUGUUGGAGUGUGGGGUUUGCCUCAGCCGUGGACCGAGGCAAAGCCCACAAAAACAGCACUGCUGCAAUUCAUCAUAUGUGAGGCUGCCUUUGAAAAAUGUUCAGAAACUUCAGAUGGUUCAUGAUAUGGAAGCCAGAUUGCUCUCUAGAAUUCUCCAGGAUGAUCAAAUGUCAGCAUUGCAAGAUCUUCACUUGGCUGCCCAUUUAUUUCUAAGCAAAUUCAAGAUGCUGUUUAUUUCCAGACAGAUUUGUCAAAAUAAUUUUUCCAGUUGUAGUUUCUGUGAACUUUUCUAGGGCCUAACUUAGCUUUAACCUCUAACAGAGUGUAUCCUUCCACAAUACCCUGAACAUAGCCCACCAACGUCGACAUAUUUGGCCUCUGAACUAUUAUUCUGUCAGGGCUUUCAUUAUUUUGAACAGUGAGUACAAGCUUGAAAGUACUGUACAGUGCAUAACGUUGCCAUGUUUUUUUCCCCAAGCAAUGUUCAUGGUUUUAAUAUGACAGGUAUAACUUUAGGUGCAGCUUUCCCAGGGAGAGAUGGGGAAAUUCUUUGCCUGCUGGAUUUUUUUGUUUGUUUGUCAUGAAGCUCUUAAAUAACACACAGGAGACCUGCCAACCAAAGCACCUACCAAGCCAAAUAGCUGUUACAGUUGAUGCUUAUCUUAGUGCAGCUACAUCUCCCAAAUCUGUCAUCCUUAUUAUCUGCAUUAUGAGCAGGAAAAGCGAACAAAAAAUUGUUUUUAAGAAACUUCCAGCAUAAAGUUUAUAAUGUACUAUUUACAAGUACACUGUCUAAGACAGAUACUAAGUAAAAUAGGGAGGACAUGUGUUUCUUUCCAUGCUUCAAACAGCUGCUGAUACAGCUGUUCAAAUUAUACAAGUCUGGGGAGGUACCUUAAGCUUCUCCGCCCUGCAAUUA